GAUGAACGCUAGCGGGAGGCUUAACACAUGCAAGUCGAGGGGUAAAUGGCAGCAAUGCUAUGAGACCGGCGGACGGGUGCGUAACGCGUAUGCAACAUACCUUGUGCAGGGGGAUAGCCCGUGGAAACGCGGAUUAAUAUUCCAUAGUCCAGCUGUAUCGCAUGGUAUAGUUCCCCCCCCCCCCCCCCCCCCCCCCCCCCCCCGGUAAAGAUUUAUCGGCACAAGUUUGGCAUGCGUCUGAUUAGCUUGUUGGUAGGGUAACGGCCUACCAAGGCUACGAUCAGUAGGGGUUCUGAGAGGAUUAACCCCCACACUGGUACUGAGACACGGACCAGACUCCUACGGGAGGCAGCAGUGAGGAAUAUUGGUCAAUGGGCGGAAGCCUGAACCAGCCAUCCCGCGUGAAGGAAGACAGCCUUACGGGUUGUAAACUUCUUUUCUGUCAGAAGAAUAAGCUUGUCGAGACGAGUGAUGCCGGUAUGACAGGAAUAAGCAUCGGCUAACUCCGUG
rnacentral:rRNA from 1 species